ensembl:lncRNA
GCGGCUGCGCCCCCCCCCCCCCCCCCUUCCUUUUCCUUCCUCAUUGCUUUUGCUGACCCCCCUCUUUCCCCCCCCACCCCCCCCCAUCCCAUGUGUGGGUCAGGAAGGACCGAUGUGUGACGGCGAUGCUUCGGCUCUCACAAAGCAAACCGAGAGGGGGAGAGUGGCGAAAUGGGGGUCUUCGGGGCUCCCCCCCCCCCCCACACACCCCCCCCGCACCCCCACCCCCCCAGGAGGAGGAAGGGCUGCGGUUGUGCCCUCAUUGUCCUUUGCUCCUCACGUGGCUCUGUUUGUCCCACGGGUGGCACAGCCACGCUCUGCUCCGCGGUGACGUGUGCCCAUAUGGGCUGUGGGUGCACCCCUAUGGGCUGUGAGUGUACUCCUAUGGGCUGUGGGUGUACCCCUAUUGGCUGUGAGUGCACUCCUAUGGGCUGUGGGUGCACCCCAAUGGGCUGUGGGUGGACCCCAAUGAGCUGUGGGUGCACCCCUAUGGGCUGUGAGUGCACUCCUAUGGGCUGUGAGUGCACCCCAAUGGGCUGUGGGUGUUCCCCUAUUAGCUGUGAGUGCACCCCAAUGGGCUGUGGGUGUACCUCUAUUAGCUAUGGGGUGUACCCCAAUGGGCUGUGGGUGUACCCCAAUGGGCUGUGAGUGCACCCUAAUGGGCUGUAAGGUGUACCCCAAUGAGCUGCGGGGUGUACCUCUAUUAGUGGGGUGUACCCCAAUGAGCUGCAGGCUGUACCCUGGUUAGUUGUCAGGGUGUACCCCAUUUAGCCGUGGGUUGCACCCCAGUUAGCUCCCCGUUGUACCCCAAUGAGCUGCAGGCUGUACCCGUUAGCUGUAAGGUGUACCCCAAUGAGCUGCGGGGUGUACUUUUAUUAGCUGUGGGGCGUACCCCAAUGAGCUGCGGGGUGUACCCCAAUGAGCCUCAGGGUGUACCCCAAUGAGCCUCAGGGUGUACCCCGGUGAGCUGUAGGAGUGUACCUCGGUUGGCUGUGGGGUACCCCAAUGAGCUGCGGGGCGUACCCCAUUGAACUGCAGGGUGUACCCCAUGAGCUGCGGUGUACCCCAUUGAGCUGCGGGGCGUACCCAAA